rnacentral:tRNA from 1 species
UUAUAGUUCAGUUGGUUAGAGCGUCAGAUUGUGGUUCUGAAUGUCGUGGGUUCGAGUCCCACUAG